rnacentral:rRNA from 1 species
AGAAUCAACGCUGGCGGCGUGCCUAACACAUGCAAGUCGCACGAGAAAGCGGGAGCAAUCCUGUGAGUAAAGUGGCGUACGGGUGAGUAACACGUGAAUCAUCUACCUUCGAGUGUGGAAUAACUGAGAGAAAUCUUAGCUAAUACCGCAUAAUACCCACGGGUCAAAGCAGCAAUGCGCUUGAAGAGGAGUUCGCGGCAGAUUAGUUAGUUGGCGGGGUAAUGGCCCACCAAGACGAUGAUCUGUA